rnacentral:rRNA from 1 species
UACGGGGGGGGGCAAGCGUUGUUCGGAAUUACUGGGCGUAAAGGGCUCGUAGGCGGCCAACUAAGUCGGAUGUGAAAUCCCCAGGCUUAACUUGGGAACUGCAUCCGAUACUGGAUGGCUUGAAUCCGGGAGAGGGAUGCGGAAUUCCAGGUGUAGCGGUGAAAUGCGUAGAUAUCUGGAGGAACACCGGUGGCGAAGGCGGCAUCCUGGACCGGCAUUGACGCUGAUGAGCGAAAAGCCAGGGGAGCAAAACGGGG